rnacentral:rRNA from 1 species
AACGAACGCUGGCGGCAGGCUUAACACAUGCAAGUCGAGCACCCCGCAAGGGGAGCGGCAGACGGGUGAGUAACGCGUGGGAAUCUACCCAUCUCUACGGAAUAACGCAUGGAAACGUGUGCUAAUACCGUAUACGUCCUUCGGGAGAAAGAUUUAUCGGAGAUGGAUGAGCCCGCGUUGGAUUAGCUAGUUGGUGGGGUAAAGGCCUACCAAGGCGACGAUCCAUAGCUGGUCUGAGAGGAUGAUCAGCCACACUGGGACUGAGACACGGCCCAGACUCCGACGGGAGGCAGCAGUGGGAAUAUUGGACAGGGGGCGCAAGCCUGAUCCAGCCAUCCCGCGUGAGUGAUGAAGGCCCGAGGGUUGUAAAGCUCUUUCACCGGUGAAGAUAAAGACGGUAACCGGGCAAGAAGCCCCGGCUAACUUCGUGCCAGCCGCCGCCGUAUCAC